CCUACGGGAGGCAGCAGUGAGGAAUAUUGGUCAAUGGGCGAGAGCCUGAACCAGCCAAGUCGCGUGAGGGAGUACUGCCCUAUGGGUUGUAAACCUCUUUUGUCGGGGAGCAAACGCAGGACGUGUCCGGCUGUGUGCGUACCCGAAGAAAAAGCAUCGGCUAACUCCGUGCCAGCAGCAGCGGUAAUACGGGGGAUGCGAGCGUUCUCCUGAUUUAUGGGGUGUAAAGGGUUCGCAGGCGGAUUUUUAAGUCAGCGGUCAAAUCGUGGGGCUCAACCCCAUCCAGCCGUUGAAACUGGGGAUCUAGAGUGUGCGAGAGGUAUGCGGAAUGCGUGGUGUAGCGGUGAAAUGCAUAGAUAUCACGCAGAACCCCGAUUGCGAAGGCAGCAUACCGGUGCACAACUGACGCUCAGGCACGAAAGCGUGGGUAUCGAACAGGAUUGGAUACCCCUGUAGUC
rnacentral:rRNA from 1 species